ACCAGUUUCUCUCGCCAAGACCUCCUUCCUGCGGAAGCACCCUCUCUGCGCCACGCUCCACGGAGGCGCCAAGCAGAAGGCCUGGGAAGGGAAGAGUGAGCCUUCCCUGGUGGAGGGGCCACUCCUCAGGCAGUGGGGAGACCGCCUUUUGCAUGCAACAGGACUUACCAGUUACUAUUGGCACCGGAACCACCAUCUGAGAUACAGGAGAAGACAGAAAUGGAAGCAAAGGAAGUUUUUCUGGUUGGCCCCAUCAAAACGAACACACUGUGGAAUUUUUUAAAAGCACAUUGCAGCUUGCUACUUUGGAUUAAUGUCAGAAGUGCAACAUUUCAUGUUUUAUGAAAUAGUUCAAGUUGAAAAACUGGAAACAAAACCAGUCAUUCACAUGUGAACCGCAGUAGCAACAAGAACAAUAAAAUAAGAGUCUGGAA